GACGAACGCUGGCGGCGUGCUUAACACAUGCAAGUCGAACGGAAAGGCCCUGCUUUUGUGGGGUGCUCGAGUGGCGAACGGGUGAGUAACACGUGAGUAACCUGCCCCUGACUUUGGGAUAACUUCAGGAAACUGGGGCUAAUACCGGAUAGGAGCUCCUGCUGCAUGGUGGGGGUUGGAAAGUUUCGGCGGUUGGGGAUGGACUCGCGGCUUAUCAGCUUGUUGGUGGGGUAGUGGCUUACCAAGGCUUUGACGGGUAGCCGGCCUGAGAGGGUGACCGGCCACAUUGGGACUGAGAGACGGCGCAGACUCCUACGGGAGGCAGCAGUGGGGAGUAUUGCACAAUGGGCGGGAGCCUGAGGCAGCAACGCCGCGUGCGGGAUGACGGCCUUCGGGUUGUAAACCGCUUUCGCCUGUGACGAAGCGUGAGUGACGGUAAUGGGUAAAGAAGCACCGGCUAACUACGUG
rnacentral:rRNA from 1 species